rnacentral:rRNA from 1 species
CCAGACUCCUACGGGAGGCAGCAGUGGGGAAUAUUGGGCAAUGGGCGCAAGCCUGACCCAGCAACGCCGCGUGAAGGAAGAAGGCUUUCGGGUUGUAAACUUCUUUUAAGAGGGAAGAGCAGAAGACGGUACCUCUUGAAUAAGCCACGGCUAACUACGUGCCAGCAGCCGCGGUAAUACGUAGGGGGCAAGCGUUAUCCGGAUUUACUGGGUGUAAAGGGAGCGUAGACGGCAGUGCAAGUCCGGAGUGAAAGCCCGGGGCUCAACCCUGGGACUGCUCUGGAAACUGUAAAGCUGGAGUGCGGGAGGGGCAGGCGGAAUUCCUGGUGUAGCGGUGAAAUGCGUAGAUAUCAGGAGGAACACCGGCGGCGAAGGCGGCCUGCUGGACCGUAACUGACGUUGAGGCUCGAAAGCGUGGGGAGCAAACAGGAUUAGAUACCCGAGUAAA